UAUGUAUGUGUGUGUGUGGAGU
rnacentral:miRNA from 1 species